GCAAAAGACUAGCUUUUCUGAUUAGUUUUCCUUUUUUGCAAAUAUCUUCCCAAAUGAAGAAUUUAUAUACAAGCUUUAAACAAAUACAAUUUAUUGACUCUUCUAAAAGUUUCUGCAUUUAGGCUCUGAUUAGGAAGAACUAGACAUCUGAAUGAAUGGUUUUGAAGUAAUGUACAAAGGAGCCUUUAACUGUUGUAAAAUAAAAGAUUUACAUUCCUUAAAGGUCUUAUUCUCUGCAUUUUGGUGCUGAACUUGAACUUAAAGACAAACUAUCUAGAUAGAAAUCAUAUUAAAACCUUUCUGAUGGUAACAUCUUAGAUUACUUAAUUUGAAAGAAUAAACCUUCUGCUUGGAGCACAUCCCUCGGCCCACACCGCUUCCUGCAGCUCCCGUUGGCCUGGAGUGGCGAACUGGGACCAGUGGGAGCUGCAAUCAGCCGAACCUGCAGAUGCGGCAGGUAAACAAACCAGCACAGUCCGCCAGGGGGCUUACCUUGGUGGGCCACGUGCCAAAGGUUGCCGAUCCCUGGAAUAAGUUGUAACUGGUGCACUUCCCUAACGAUAAGACACCUUUUACAGUGCCAAGUUGAGAAACCUGAAAGCCAGAGAAUGUAAUCUCUCUCUAGUCCUUGCAUCUGACGAAGUGGUUAUACACCCACGAAAGCUUAUGCUUCAAUACAUCUGUUAAUCUAUAAGGUGCUACAGGACUCUUCGCCGCUUUUACAGAUCCAGACUAACACGGCUACCGCUCUGAUAAUCUCUAGUCCCUGUCAUCUUAGUCAAUGCAGACUAAUAAAGGUUUGACUAUCUUGGCUAGAUUUGGCCCUUCGCUGACUUCACCAGCAUGGCUGAAUGUGGCAAAGAAUGACUAAGAAUAUCACUUAGAGGAUUUUAUUUUUUUUGCCACUGAGUCACUGACUUUGGAGUGUACCUAAUGAGCGAGUGACUUUUCUGGUUUAGAAGAUAACUUGAAUAAACAUCUGUAACUUUUUCAUAAUGAAAUGUGAGUAGUCUUAAUGCAUUUCACUAAGAACGUAGGGCCUGGUUGUGUCCCUAAGAGAAACUUUGUACAUGGAUCUUUCCCCUUAGCCACAGAAAGGAGAUUCAGCCGUCUGGGCAACAGCAUUUCCUCAUCCCAAGGAGGUGCUGCUGCAGGAGGGUGGGCUGUGGAUGUGUGGUAGGACUCCUCCUUUCUCUAUUUGUUUCCUCUCUUCCCUAUGCCCAGUGAAAUCCAGGAUGGAAAUGUGAUAUAGUAUAUUUCUACAGUGGAAAACCUCUCUUGAAGGGGAAUUCCUACAUUUAUUCUUUCAAAAUAGGCUUUGAUAAAUUCACUUGUUUCAUGCAUUAAAAUAAGGGAACUUUUAAAAAACUUAUGUCACCUUUGUAACAGCUAGAUGAAUGGGUAAUCAUUGAAUGUACAUUAUUUUUGUAAAUCAGACUCUCAGCUGAAUCUCUCUGCAAAAGUAAACUGUCAUGUACAUUUAAUUCCUUCCUUUGGGUUUCUGGAUUUCAUUGUCAAUACAGUAGUUCUUGCUACAAAUAAUUUUGUUUGAAGAUUGAUUCCAUUACUGUGUGGUCUGAACCAUUCUAAUUCUAUUAAGUGAUUUUAAGAUGUACUUUCAUGGAAUUUGUUGACUCAAAUUAUGGUGAGGAGUCAAUGUUAGCCUAUAAUAUAUAUUUAAAGAUUUAAAUCAUCCUGUCCUAUAAAAACAAUAAUGAUGUCACGAUUAAGACAGUCAUUGGGUAUCUAAAGACUUUAUUAGAACAACUUAAUUGACUAUUGCUACAAAUUUCAUGUUGUCUAUUGAAAUGCCUAGCUAUAUAAAACCUGUUUUCAAUUAUAGUAAUACACACUUUAUGGCCCCAUUGCACUGCCAUGGUGUAAAGGGGCCAUGCCAUAAAUGAGAAGCAGGCCCCUAAAAUUUAUAACUUAUCUGCAUAUUGUAGUGUCCAGUAAUAUAUAUCAAUAUGAUAUUUACAGCUAUUUUUCCCUUCUAAUUAUGGCAAGGUUUUCACAAAAUGGAGGACAAGAGUUUAACUGUUGAUAAUGCAUGUAAGGCGUUUUGCCUCUCAUGAAUAUAUUCGUUCUGCUGCACAGCUUCUCUCCUCAUUCAUCACUAAUAGUAAUACUUCCCACCUUCGGAAUUCAGAAAUGGUCUAUGUUGUUCUGAAGACUUCAGGACUGAGUCUUGCCCUUCAGCUCAGGCCACUGAAUUUUCUGCCUCAAGUGGCAAAGCAAGUUGGUGGUUCAGUUUCUCUCAACCAUUUUGUUUUAUAACUUUAAAUUUUAUAUGAUUUUUGUGCAGUAGUUACUUCAUUUCAGUUUCUUUUUUUUCCCUUUUCUGAGGUGAGGAAUUACUGGAGUAUUGAGGCUUUAACCCCCCCCCCCCAGCUUCUCUGGUACAACACCUCUUAAAUGGCUUCCCUGUCUCUCCCACUGUGGCAGCAGAGUGCAAGCAUUAAGCCAAGACCAAGAGGCGCUAUAGGCAGUUUUUUAGGGGAGAUAUACCCCGCUGCCAUAAGUCACUGACCCUCAUACUGCCAGGGCAUGGGGGCUUUUUUGUUGGAUAAGUAUGUAGGGCCUUGACUUCUACCCAAAACGGUGAGGCCUUGUCUACACUACCAUGUUUUGUCACCAAAAGUGCCGUUUGUCAACCCAAACAGUGAGUGAGUACACACUGCGUUGCAACUUUUGCUGGGGAGAAUGCCUGGUUUUUGGUGACAAAAUACAGCCACCCCCACAAGAGAUUUACAUCUUUCUGUCCACAUUGUCCACAUUGUCGAGAAAGUACAAGUGUAGACACCACGCUUCAUUUCAUCGCUUUAAUUGGCCUCCAGGAGAUGUCCCACAAUGCCCAUCCUGACCGCUCUUGUCAGCAAUUUGAACUCCACUGCCCUGCAGCCAGAUAAAUAACCAUCCUCCCCUCCCCCUUAAAAGCCCCAGGAAUUUUUGAAAUUCCAUUUCCUGUUUGCUCGGCGUGGAGAGGUCUCAUCACACAUUCCCAGGUGACCAUGGCGGGUUAUCGCAGCAAAUGCUCUCCCGCUUGGACCACUGCAGAGCUGUUGGAUCUGAUCAGUAUAUGGGGAGAGUCCCAGCUGUGCCUGAGCUGCAGGAAUUGGGAUAUCUACGGGCAGAUUUCUCAAGGAUUGUGUGAAAACGGCUAUGAUGGGGACAUGCUGCAGUGCAGAGUGAAGAUAAAGGAGCUGAGGCAGGCAUACCAUAAGGCGAGGGAGGCAAACCAUUGCUCAGGUGUGUCACCUAAGAUCUGGCAGUUCUAUAAGGAGCUGAAUGCUAUCCUCAGUGGCGACCCCACCUCCAUUGCCAAGAGCCCCAUGGAUACUUCGGAGGGCACGGAGGCGGCAGAAAGAGGACCAAACCCGGAGGACGAAGUUAUUGAUGGAGAUGCAGCAUUAGAUUAGGAUGUGCAGCUCCCGGCAGGGUCGCCCAGUGGGGCAGGCAGCCAGGAACUGUUCUCCACUCCCAAGGUGUCUAGCCUGUCUCAGCAGUCACUCUCCGAUUAGCAAGAAGCAGGAGAUGAGACUCCUGAUGUGGCCUUCAGAAAUACCCCCCACACACCAGCUGAGCAUGUCUUCCAGAUAAGAAAACAUCCAAGACGCAGCAAAGAAGACAUGUUCUGGGAGGUCCUGCGGUGCUCCAACAGCUAUAUCCUAAGCACCAUCAGAGCGGGUUAUGCCAUCCAGCUGCUCUCCACCCUCCCUCUCUGUCCCUCUUCAAUGACCCCUCUCAUGUGGUACUGCUCCUCAAGCAGGUCUGCUCUGUGCUGACAGUGGAUGAGGGUCCGCCAGAAUUCCUGGUACUUCCCAAUACCCAAAUCCAAGGGAGGAGUAAGAUCCAUCCUCAGCCUUAGUGGACUCAACAAAUAUAUCCAGUACAUGAGGUUCUGAAUGGUCAUUCCAUCAAUUAUCCUCCCUGCAUUGUCUCAGAAUCACUUGUUUGCUGCUCUGACCCUUCAGGACACCUACUUUCACCUGGCGAUUUUACCAAGCCACAGAAAGUUCCUUUGGUUCGUCGUGGCGGAAUGCCACUUUUAGUACACAGUGCUUCUGUGACAAAUAAAGUGUGUGUGUGGAGGGGGAUAGUUCCCUUUGAUGGAUGCCCAGCCAGCCAGUUAGCUGUAAAAUCCCUCUUGGUAGCUGUUCUUUACUUGCUUUAUCUGUAAAGGGUUAAAAAGUCCCCCAGAAAAAGAAAAGAAAAGAAAAAAAAGUGGACACCUGACCAAAAGAGCCAAUGGGAAGGUAGAAUUUUUUAGAAUUUGGAAAGAAACUUUCCCAUUGUCUGUUGUUCUCUGGGCUGGAGGGACAGAGCAGCCAUGCUAUAAGCAACUUAAGCCAGGUAUGAUCAUAAAUCAUCCGAUCAUGCUUAGAACUAUUUAUCUGAACUCCAAAUGUGUAAGUAGAUCAGAAUGUUUGGCUAGAUGCGAUUAGGGUUAUUUCUUUUAUUUCUUAUUGGCUUGUGGACUCCUCUAUGCUAAUCCCAGAUGCUUUUGUUUGCUUGUAACCUUUAAGCUACCCCCCAAGAAAGCUAUUUUGGGUGCUUGAUUUUUGGAAUUGCUAUUUUAAAAUCUAACAAGCAUAAGUUCCAGAUGUAUUUUCUUCCCUUUUGUUUUUAAUAAAAUUUACCUUUUUUAAGAA